rnacentral:rRNA from 1 species
AGCGAACGCUGGCGGCAGGCUUAACACAUGCAAGUCGAGCGGGCACUUCGGUGUCAGCGGCAGACGGGUGAGUAACACGUGGGAACGUGCCCUUCGGUUCGGAAUAACUCAGGGAAACUUGAGCUAAUACCGGAUACGCCCUUUGGGGGAAAGUUUACUGCCGAAGGAUCGGCCCGCGUCUGAUUAGCUAGUUGGUGGGGUAAUGGCCUACCAAGGCGACGAUCAGUAGCUGGUCUGAGAGGNUGAUCAGCCACACUGGGACUGAGACACGGCCCAGACUCCUACGGGAGGCAGCAGUGGGGGAAUAUUGGACAAUGGGCGCAAGCCUGAUCCAGCCAUGCCGCGUGAAGGAUGAAAUCCCUCGGGA